rfam:Schistosoma mansoni strain Puerto Rico chromosome 4, complete genome
AUCCAGCUGACGAGUCCCAAAUAGGACGAAACGCGUGUCCUGAAU